CUUGUAGAACGUUCUCUGCUUGUGCUGCUGUUACAAUUAAUUAUUGACAAAAUGUUAUCAGCAUUGCAAACUAAUAAGGAAAACUAUGAUCUACAACUUAAACGCUUACAACAGAUCAAGAGCAGAGUUUUUAAACUAGUCCCAUUCCCAUAAACUGCUGUGCUUAUUACAUCAAUAUGUCCGGGGUAUGGAUGUAUUUGUAUGUAUAUGUUCUCCUUAAACCAAGGCAAAAAGAGUUUAAUUUGUACAUAUACCUUGGGGUAAUUUUUCAAUUACCAAAGUUUAGUUUCAGACAGUAAAAUAAGAAAAAGAAGAAGCAUUCAAAUUAGUUGGCCCAAGUGUUUAAUGAAGCCUAAUAUAAUUAUGAAUGGGUCUUCAUUAAAUCCAAAUGGUUGGUUUAAUUUGGGUCAAGUUAGUCGGCUAACCGUAAGUGCUGGGCAAGUAAAAGCGUUUCUACAGUUGUUGCAAACUAGAAGUGAAAACGGUCAAAUCGGUAAAUCAAGUCCACUGGGACAUAAAAUAUGGUGUUUAUAACAAAAACAAAAACAAAAAAACAAAAAAACAAAAAAAUCAAUUUCGGAUCGGGCUUGAAAAAAUAUGUUCAACCCAACAAGAUUAUUUAUUUAUAAGCCUAAUCCAAGUCAAACUAGUAAGCUCAAGGAAAACCUAUAUCAUUUAGCCCAAUUAAUACUCAAUCUUUUUUUUUCUUUGUUAAACUCAUUCUUCUCCUCUUAUCCCUCUUCCUAUUUCUCUCUAAACGUUUUUUUUUUCUCCUUUUCACCUCUUACUCAAUUUGAGAAAACGAUGGCUCGCGGCUAUCACCUCAUACCAUCUUACAUACCCAAACCGAAAUGAUCUGGGCUGUGAGUAAUAUUUGAUUUGAUACCAAUUUGAGGGUAAAGCAGACCGUGCACGCCCCCUGCUGCAAACAUUCUGGCCCAAAAAAAUAUAAAAAAUUGCUGCAAAAGUAGUAUGUAUGUAUGUAUGUACACUUACGCCUCUGAACGUAGAGGGUUGCCAACAGGAAUGUUUAUUUGAUGGUUCAUCCCGAGCGAAACCAAAUUUAUAACUGCAGGAGAAAAAAAUAAACGGAAUUCAGAUCGGAAGUUCAUGUAUUAACACAACUAGGGUUACUGGAUCUAUUUCUGGGUGUUCGAAUCACUUGGCGGAGGUGGCUGUCUUGAAAUCCGCCGCAUUUCGUUUAUAAAAAACUUGGUGGUGGCUGUCCUCUCAUUUUAAAGACUCAAAUUGAUAUCAAUUAUGCCAUCAAUACAUUCACAGCCAGAAUUAACUCAUACGGAAAGCAAGAACCACAAAAAAAAAAAAAGAAUUUAGGGAAGGAAGUGCAGCAAUUUAGAAGAAAAAAGAGAGCAUACACAUACGACUGAAUGCAUUCAAAUAACAGCUAUCAAUUGUUUACCACAAUAUCUAACGAUUUGAGAGAGCUGCAAUUUUUCGCAAAGUAAAAGCGUUGCUAGCAAUUUGAGAGAACUUGAGGAAUUCGGGAGAAUUAGGGAUUUUGGGUUUUGGGGAAUGUGAGGGAAAAUGGAGAAGACAACGCUCUUUUGACCUUUUUAAAAAUAAAACGUGGCUCAAAACGACGUCGUUCAGUGAGGGAAUUUUUUUUUCAAAACAGCAGCUGCGCGCAAAAUCGUUGGCUGGACUGCCCAGCAUUUCAUCGAGCAUUUGGCGGGCAUGUGGGGGUUGCCCAAUAACAACCUUCCAUGCUGUCACUGGCUAUCCGCAGCCCCCUCCCCAUUAUUUUUAAGGGAAGCCAAAGAACGAUAACAUCACGCCACACCCAUACUCAUGUUGGUACGAACGGGGGGAAGGACAUUCUAUACAACCUUAAGACGUUUAGAAGAGAAAGGCAAGUUUUCGCUUUCAUUUUUCUUUGCUCUCGA
rnacentral:lncRNA from 1 species